UACGAAGGGGGCUAGCGUUGUUCGGAUUUACUGGGCGUAAAGCGCACGUAGGCGGAUUGUUAAGUGAGGGGUGAAAUCCCAGGGCUCAACCCUGGAACUGCCUUUCAUACUGGCAAUCUUGAGUCCGGAAGAGGUGAGUGGAACUCCUAGUGUAGAGGUGAAAUUCGUAGAUAUUCGCAAGAACACCAGUGGCGAAGGCGGCUGACUGGUCCGGUUCUGACGCUGAGGCGCGAAAGCGUGGGGAGCAAACAGG
rnacentral:rRNA from 1 species